UAGAGAGAUCCAAAGUCAGGUCACUAGCAACAUCGUCGUAGCCGUUUGGAGCGCAAUUUAGAGUCGCAUUCUGUAGACGACCGUUGUCCCCUAAAUCGAAAGCGUAGUAGAUAUAUGGUUUAGGGGAAUUCGGACUCUUAUAGUACAUGACCAGUCUUUUGGAUUCCAUGACCAGGCUAUAGGCGCCAUCGGAGUUCUCCUUCUGUGAGGCUCGGCUCACAAGCCUAGUCGCACCUCCGACCCGAAGAGAUUGACCCACCAAGAGAGUAUCAGUAGGAGAGUCGAAGCUUUGCCAGAUAAAGUUACCCUUGGAAUCAUGAAGCACCAUGUUGCCAUUAGCCAGCAAUUGCAAGCCAACAACACCUUUAUUGGCUGUGUUGGUUUGCCAAGCGACCCUGCCAUCAGCAUCUGCCAAGACAAGAUUUCCGUCCUCCCCUAAGGAGAGAGUGGCAUUUUCGCGAACUGAGUUGCCUCGGUUGGCUUCCCAAACCCAGCGCAUUAAUGAUUCUGACCUCACAGUACCCAUACGCAGAGCAAGGGUGUAUGCAUUUGGGGUGGUGUUAUAAAACAUUAGUUGGAAAGGGGAAGUACCUAAGGGCAGUGGACGAUAAUCUGGACCAUACUCGGAAAUGUAUUCCCCAAACUCUCCUUCAUUGACGUACUUGAAUGUUGAAGAAGGAGGAACAGAGGCAUGGGCAAUGAAGGAUAUUGAGAAGAGAAAACAAAGAGAGAACAAUGGCAGCUCCAUUGGACUGGAGGACACUUCUUUCUGGUUGCUUGCUUGAUUUAGGUGGCUUUGAUAUGAAACCAAGGCGGAGACUGGUCACCUUUUAUAAGCUGUUUAGGAUGGCAUUUUUUGUACUUGAAAACUCUCCAUUUUCUAUAAUUAAAUCAAAGAUUCUUCUUGGUGGGCGCUUUGCUGUUCAAGAAAAGAGAGGAUAAUGGGGAUGGAAGCUUGAUGGGCUGUUGCCCAUUAUUUUCCUUGAUCUGUGAUAAUGGUGGGGUGGCUUCUUCUUUUUUUCUUUCCUUUUCUAUUUUCUUUUUUUUUCUCUUGAUAAUUUUGUUUUCCUUUUAAUUUCGUAGCCAUGCUAUGUGGAAAUAUUACCAUAUGUUCUCUACAAAUUGAUCUACAUGAUACCAUUUUUAACAUUUGGUGCUGAUUUUGAAUAAAUGAGCAAAUUUAGUAACAGAGUGUAAAAGAUUUUAUACACUGCCAGAAAAUCGAUAAAUACAAAUGAAAAUAUUGAGGGAAUAUUUUCGUUGGUAAAUUGCCAACGGAUUUUACCGAUAAAAAUAUUCUCUCGGUAUUUACCAAGAAAAUUACAGUGAAAAAAAUUUAAAACAAAGCAAAAAAAAAAAAACCAAUGACGUGCCAUUUUUACCAAUGAAAUUAAUUCUGUCGGUAAAAUCUAUUGGUAAAUUCGUUGGUAAACUGUAAUAACUAUUUAUCAUGUCAAUUACAAAGGGAAUUACUAAUAAAAAUUCCGUCGAUAUUUUUCUGAGAGCUCUGAAACUAUUCACUUUCCAAUUGCACUGUUAAUUAUAGUUUUUUUGACAAAAUCACCAAAGAAUUGAAAAGUCGUCGAUGUUAUUUGACAGUUUUCUAAAAAUUUUCAAUUAAAUUAAAAUUUUAAAUUAAAUAUUACAGACGGAAUCACUGAUGGAUUGAAAAGUCGUCGGUAAUAUUUGACAAUUUCUGAAAUUUUUUGAUUAAAUUAAAAUUUUAAAUUAAAUAUUACAAACGAAAUCACCAACGGAUUAAUUAAAAAUAUUAAUAUUUAAUUAUAUGUCGAUAAAAUGCCCAAAUAAAAAGCUUAGAAUCUAUAAUUUCAUAACAGACGAAGCUCCUUUCUUCCUCUUCUUCUUCUUCCUCCCCAUAUGUAAAAAACAUCAAUAACUAUUUUUUUCUCUUCUCUUCUCUCUUCCACUCCUUCUCUUCUCCUCCAUGCUCAAGUAUGUAUUCUUCUCCUUUCUCCUUUUUUCUUUUCAGUUUUUUUUUAAUUAAUAUACUUUAUGAAUUUUUUUUUCUCUUCUUAGCUUCACUUGCAACCGCAUUAAGGUAGGAUUUUUUUUCCUUCUUUUUUCAUGUUUUUUAUUCACUAUAUUUGUUUUUUAUUUGUUUUUUAUUUUUUUUGUUCUUAAUAAUUGUACGAAUAUUGUUGUAGGAGUUUUUUUUUCCAUAUGAUUUUUUUUCCAAGCGUUUUGAGUAUUAUAGAGUGUUGAUUUAUAUUAAUUCAAUUAUUUUAUAGUUUCAUAAAAUGGAUUUUUUAAAAAUAUUAUUAAAUAAUUACCGACGGAAUGAAGCGGAUAAAGGGUAUUUUUCCGAGGGAAAUACCGACGGAAUGAAGUAAAUAAUUUUUUUACGUGUCUUUUCCGUCAAUAAAUCCAUCGGUAAUAAUAUUUUUUUUUACCAACAGACUUACCGACGAAAAAAAAAUUAUAGAAAAAAAUUCACCGACAGAGUAUUUUUGUUGGUAAAUUAAUUACCAACGGAAUGAUAGUACAAAUACCAACAAAAAAUUUCGUCCAUAAAUCUAAAGAUUGUGCUAGUAAUAAAAACACAUUUAAAUUGAAAAAAUGUCAAAUAUAAUUUUUGUUAUUUUCACAUCAACAGAUGAAAAUCUUUCUAAAUCACUUUAAAAAAAAUCACCAAUUUGGACAAUUUGUUUUAUUAUUUCAAAUACAUUUUAAGAAAUAGUAUUAUAUACAAUGUAAAUACAGCACCGAAUACUUUUUUAAUAUUACAUAGCUGGCAAAAGUUAAGCAUUUGACAGUGCGAAAAGUACUCUUGAUUAUGAUUCAAGUGAGUGAAGCCUGCUUUAUGCAAAAUAAAAAAAUGUAAAUCGCAUGAUGGCUUUGAACAUGGCAGGAACUAGAAACAUUGAAUGAUAGAUGCCGCUUGACUUCUGGUCAAAUACUAACAACUAAGAAAUCCUGUGGUCAAAGCUCACGUCUUUAAACAAAGUUAUCCGAAUAUAGCCAAUGAGCUUGGGACUCGGCGCCACUAUCCGCUUCUUGAAUACGACGACUAACAAGACAAAAUAUUGAUUUCUGAAAAUUUCAGAAUAUUUUCCUAACCCAUAAAACUAGAAAAAUGUGUUCAUGUUAUAUUGUUUUUCAUUUGAGAAAAAAUAUGACAUUCUUAACGUUUUUAAAUACACAAAUACUUUUUUUAUCGUCAUUUAUCAUUAUAAAUAUUUCACCUACUUAAAUUGAAUGAGAUAUAAAAAUAAACAUAACACUAUAAUACUUUUCACUAUUAGAGUGUAUUAAUAAUAAAGUUUUACACUCAUGAACAAUAUUAAUUAAUAUUCUUAAUGAUUGUUAUAAUCAUUCCACAGUUAAUCUGCAAUGACAUUUUUGAUCAAAUUAAUUUGUUUGAAUAUUUUUUUUUUAUUAUCAUAUAUGUCUGGAUCUACUUAAAUAUAUUUUGAUUAGUUUCACGGGCCAUGAAGUUAACGUCCAUGUAAGUUUAUAGUAGCUUGAAAUUUAUAUAACUUGAACCGGUAAUUUCUUGGGAACAAACCUAAGAUCUGAUCAGUGGGCUAUACCCCUUGGAAUUGUAUUGUAUCUAUAUAAAUACUUGUACCAUAUUAGUACUGUCCUCAUUUAUAAAUUUUAAUCUUUCUCUACUAUAUUUUAUAAAUAAUCGAUCAGCUCUAAUAUGCAAUACACCAGGAACAUUAUGAUAGCCAUUAUUACUCAUCAUACAUACAAAAAUUAAUUAUUUGAAUGUUGCGUGUGUUCACUUGGCAGUUAGCACCACUUGGCAUGGAAAAAUUAUUUCCUUAUGAAGAUAAUGCAUCCAUAAAUGCAGAUAAAUCAUUAGUUAUUCCUUGCCAACCAUUAUUGACAAAUAUGAACAUACGAGAACAAGCAGCCAUGACAUUUUGCGCCACAGGUGAAGCUCUUUUACCAUGAAUAAAAUUUUUUUAUGCUGGAGGCCAAGCAGCUAGAGUUGGAACAAGAUUUACAUAUAUUUAAAUAAUCAAGAAUCACAUGCUUAUGAUUAUUUUAAAAAAUUAACAUAUAUACAUCAAAAUAUGAAUUCCAAUUUGGAUUACCUUGAAUUUCUAGUUGCUCAUCUCCUUUAAUGGCUGGCUUAAUUAAUUCAGUUUCUACAGAAGUAAAUGCUAUUAGCACCUUUUUUUUUUUUUUUAAAUAUAAAUGGAUACUGUCCCAAGUGAAUGCUGAAAAACGUUCAGUUACCGACUUGGAAACUUCAAGGAAGACUACGUGUAUAUUUUUUUGCUCUUUCCAUUUUUGCUUCUCUUGUGUGGGCUCGUUUGCAUCGCAUUUAGAAUGGUCCAAUAUGUAGGCGAGCUUGACUUUGUACGUGGAGGGCAAUAUUUUUAAAAUAACGAGUCGACCGUUAAAAUUUUAUGAUUUUAUAAGUUAAUAUGUAUUUUACACCAGGAAUGCCUCCAGUCUUUCUUCUCCCCCGUACAGGCAAGACAACCACAUCUUUUUCUCACCGAAGCACCCCGCCCCGGCCACUGCAUGCAUAAAUUCUACAUGCAGUAUCCAAGGUUUAAGUUUUUGAUGGGCUUAGCCCAUGCCAGCCAGCCCACCCUAAAAAAGAUAGCCCAAAUAUGCUGGACUGAUGACAGCCCAGCUAUAUAUUUAAUUAUAAUAUAAUAAUAAUAUAUAUUAUUAGAAAAACAAAAACAAAUUCUGUAAUAUCAUAUUGUUUAUUUAUACUAUAAAAUAUAAAUUUAGUAUUAAAAUACCUAGUUUUCUUCAAAAUAUUUCUAAAACAAUUUUAAAAAUUUUCAAAAAAAAAUCUUAAGACUUCUAAAUUAAUUUUCCUUUUUAAAAAACAAAAAAAUAUCUUGUUUUCAAACAUAUAGUUAAAUUCUAAGAUUUGUUUAAAUAUAUUUUUUUAAAUAUUUUUUUAGAUUUUUCUUAUAUUUAAAAAUAAUAUUAUAGCCCUGAUUAUAUUAAUUCCAUCACAACCUGAUAGUACAUAUUUAUAGUAAAUUAAUAUGUAAAUUUUUCCCUAACGGACUGUAUUAAGUUUUUAGCUACACAUGGUCUACCUUGAUGCUUGUAGGACAACGCAAAAGAAAUGUUCUACUACUUCCUCAUCUCAAAUGUAUAUCAUUAUAAUAUCAUUUUUAUAUUUUUUUUAUAAUUUUUUUUAGAGGGGUGGAGCAUUUAUAUACUAUGUCCACAUUUUAACUGUUGUAUAUUAAAGGAUAGGCCGCCCUCGUCGUCGUCGUCGUCAUCAUCAACUACUCAUUCCAACAUUGUAGACAUCACUCUAUAGGGUUCCGAUUGAUUGCUUAAAUUAAUUUCUGAAAAAUAAGUUCAACAGUGGACCUUACGUGUAAGCAAAGACUUUCAAACAUAAUGGCUGGCAAUUGGCUAGCAUUCAACAAGUCGACUAUUGAGAAUUUUCAUUGUCAAACAGAGAAAUGGAUAGAUAAAAGCUCUCAAAGCUGAAAACUAUCCUCGCCUCCCCUAUAUAUAGUUCCAUCUCCUUCCCUUAAUCCAUCACAUCGCAAGAGAAAGGAAAGAUGACAGAUGAUUGCUCUGGUAAGCGAUUGAUUAUUGUAACGUGCUUAUUUAUGUAUACAACAGUGCAUGAGAACCAUGCCAAUGAGUUUAUAUAUAUAUAUAUAUGGUUAUACAUUUAAUUUAACCAUUCUUUUUGAUACAUUUAACUAUAAUUCUUGUUAAUCUUAGAUGCGGGAAAGAGCUCGUGGCCGGAGCUAGUGGGAAUAAACGGAGAAGUGGCGGCCAAAAUCAUCGUAAGAGAGAAUCCCAAGGUUCGUGCUGGGAUUGUGAAGGAAGGAAUGAUGGUGACCAUGGAUUUCCGUUGCGACAGGGUCCGAGUCUGGGUUGAUAAAUAUGGAAUUGUGAAAGAUAUUCCACAAAUUGGUUGAUGAGCAGACGAAAUAUUUUGUUGUUUAAGCUAUACUGAUAAAUAUACGUGUAAGAUUCAUCAUGAAGAUUGUACCAAAUAACCAGCAUAUGUAAUCAUGCUAAUUACAUAAAUUAAUCUGCAAUAAAAUGGUUCGUUUUUUGUAAGAGCAUCUUAUAUUAUUUUAAUAUCAUCUUUAUAGUGUUUUAUUAUUAUAAUUCAUAAUAAUAUAAAGUCCCAGAACGUGUACACAAUGAAAGAAUAUGACAAUAAAUUUUACGAAGUUCAAGCAUGUUCUACAGAUUACAGCAUGCAUGCUCCCAUCAUCAACUCUUGGAAGCAGCCAUUCUCUCCAACUUCUUCUCUUUUACUUUCUCUCACAGAUUUAAAACCUCUAUCCUCAAUCGUUGCUUCCUCUCUCAAUUUCUCCACUCCAGAUCUAAAAGCCACCCGUUUUUGCCUCCCUCUCGACUUCAACAUCGCGCGAGUGCUGUUGUGGGAGGAGCUUUUUAUUGCAUGGUGAAUUGGUUUAUUAGAGAAAAUAAUGAUUCAACAUCCCGAGUGCUGCUGUAAGAGGAGACCUUUUCAAUUAUUUGAUGAGACCAUUAAAGAAGGGAUCAAGCCUGAUUAUGCUAUUAGGCCAUGCUGGUUUGCUAGAAGAAGCAGAAAAUUUGAUAGAGAUGACCCAUCCUGGUGCUUGUAUAGCCAGUUCACACUCCUAUUGCAGAGAGCAUUGCAAAGAAAGUAAUGGAAUUGAAACCUAAUUAUCUAGGUUACUUAAUUAACUAAUGUCUACAGAGUGGUUGGCUGAUGGGAUGAUGCUGUUAAAAUUCGGAAUUUAAUGACGAAAAGAGAGGUGUUGGCCAAAUGAUAGGCAGAAGUUGUAUUGAGACUGUGGAAAGCAUCUUAGCAAUUUUCAAGUGUAAAUCAUCUUGGCAAUUUUCAAGGCUGAAGAAAAGCUUCAAGUUCUCAAGAUAUCCACAGAGCCCAAUUAUCUCAAGAAUCUGGUAAUAGUUUCGAAGAGCCCAAUUAACUAUAAAAAAUUGCAUUUAUGAGUGUUCAAGUACAAAACUAGCCUUGCAGAAAAAAUCCAUUGGCUUCGUUAACGGGGUAAGAUUGUAUUUUCACCAUGGUACAAUUAUUUUUAAAAUAUUAUGAGGGGUUAGAUUUUUUAUUUUUCUUUUUAUAUGCAAAGUAAAAUCACUACUUUAGCUUUGGAUUUAAAAAUUCUUAUGUUUUAAGCUCAAAGGUUUUUAAGUACUUUUAUUUUUCAGAAAUAGUGCAAUUACUUUUAUUCUUUUUGAGGAAAAAAAAAAUAUAACUCUCUUGUAAUGGUGUUUUGGUCAUUUGCAUUUUUGUUGCAAUUUUGAAAGUUGCUUAGGGGUGUUUUUGUAAUUAUCAUAUAUUAAUAUAAAAAACUGUGUUGGUGCUUACAAAGUACAUGCUAGUGUGUGUGCGACCCCCAUGCUAUUCUGACGGUGCAUGAGGGGUUGUCCAGCUACCAAACACUGACUUCAUGGGCAGACGUUUGAAAGGUCUCGACAUCCCCGAUCAUAAGAGGUUACGUGAGUACCAUCAUUCAUAAUGGUUUGACGCUAGCGAUAAUUUCCCCCCUUUUUCUCUAUCUCACCACCUAGAUUUUUGUGACAACCCCUUAAAAAUUCAAGAAUAACCCUUUAAUUUGUUGGUUUUUCAGAUUUGAUCUAUUUUAUUUUGAUUUUGAUUUUUUAUUGAAUAAUCUAUAAAAUUGGUUUGCCUUUUUAAUUUCACAUUUCUUAAAUUUUUUUAUCUUUCAAAUUUGAUCCUCGUUAUGUUGAGUGCUAUUUUUAUGUUUGAGUCAUUUUUUUAAAUUGAUUUUGUUUUUCAAUUUCACAUUCCUUUGUUUUUUUUCCUAUCAAACUUAAUACAUGUUCUUUUAAUUACUAAUUUUUUUAGCCUUUACAAGUUUUUAUUUAGACAUUUUAAACACUUACUGAUGGACUGUGAGUGUAAAUAUUGAUAUAAAUUUUUGUCGGUAAAAUUGUUAAAUCUGAUAGUGGUAAUUAUUUUCCCUUCAUCAAUAAUGUUCUGAUUUAGAUACACACUCCUAUUGCAGAGAGCAUUGCAAAGAAAGUAAUGGAAUUGAAACCUAAUUAUCUAGGUUACUUAAUUAACUAAUGUCUACAGAGUGGUUGGCUGAUGGGAUGAUGCUGUUAAAAUUCGGAAUUUAAUGACGAAAAGAGAGGUGUUGGCCAAAUGAUAGGCAGAAGUUGUAUUGAGACUGUGGAAAGCAUCUUAGCAAUUUUCAAGUGUAAAUCAUCUUGGCAAUUUUCAAGGCUGAAGAAAAGCUUCAAGUUCUCAAGAUAUCCACAGAGCCCAAUUAUCUCAAGAAUCUGGUAAUAGUUUCGAAGAGCCCAAUUAACUAUAAAAAAUUGCAUUUAUGAGUGUUCAAGUACAAAACUAGCCUUGCAAGAAAAAUCCAUUGGCUUCGUUAACGGGGUAAGAUUGUAUUUUCACCAUGGUACAAUUAUUUUUAAAAUAUUAUGAGGGGUUAGAUUUUUUAUUUUUCUUUUUAUAUGCAAAGUAAAAUCACUACUUUAGCUUUGGAUUUAAAAAUUCUUAUGUUUUAAGCUCAAAGGUUUUUAAGUACUUUUAUUUUUCAGAAAUAGUGCAAUUACUUUUAUUCUUUUGAGGAAAAAAAAAUAUAACUCUCUUGUAAUGGUGUUUUGGUCAUUUUGCAUUGUUUUGUUGCAAUUUUGAAAGUUGCUUAGGGGUGUUUUUGUAAUUAUCAUAUAUUAAAUAUAAAAAAACUGUGUUGGUGCUUACAAAGUACAUGCUAGUGUGUGUGCGACCCCCAUGCUAUUCUGACGGUGCAUGAGGGGUUGUCCAGCUACCAAACACUGACUUCAUGGGCAGACGUUUGAAAGGUCUCGACAUCCCCGAUCAUAAGAGGUUACGUGAGUACCAUCAUUCAUAAUGGUUUGACGCUAGCGAUAAUUUCCCCCCUUUUUCUCUAUCUCACCACCUAGAUUUUUGUGACAACCCCUUAAAAAUUCAAGAAUAACCCUUUAAUUUGUUGGUUUUUCAGAUUUGAUCUAUUUUAUUUUGAUUUUGAUUUUUUAUUGAAUAAUCUAUAAAAUUGGUUUGCCUUUUUAAUUUCACAUUUCUUAGAUUUUUUUAUCUUUCAAAUUUGAUCCUCAUUAUGUUGAGUGCUAUUUUUAUGUUUGAGUUAUUUUUUUAAAUUGAUUUUGUUUUUCAAUUUCACAUUCCUUUGUUUUUUUUCCUAUCAAACUUAAUACAUGUUCUUUUAAUUACUAAUUUUUUUAGCCUUUACAAGUUUUUAUUUAGACAUUUUAAACACUUACUGAUGGACUGUGAGUGUAAAUAUUGAUAUAAAUUUUUGUCGAUAAAAUUGUUAAAUCUGAUAGUGGUAAUUAUUAUCCCUUCAUCAAUAAUGUUCUGAUUUAGAUAUUUUAGCUUGGAGUAUAUUUAUCAUGUCAAAUUAUAUUUGUUCCCAAUAUUAUCAUCAUUGAUCAUUUGAAUAAGAUUUGAAACUCUUUUCAAAUCUCAUUCCACCUUUCACAAGUAUUUAAAAAUCAAUAUUAUUUGAGAACAUGUAGAACAUUUUUUUUGUUUCACCCAGGAUAAUAAAUCCUCUUUUGAUCACUUAAAUACCUUCAUAUAGUUUAUGUUUUAUUCAAUGUAUGCCCAUUUGUUACCUUUACCAAGAUAACAUAUAACAAGAUCAAAACAUAACACUUUUUAUAUAAGAUAACUUAAUAAUCUCAAGUCUAAAAAUUACUUACACAAUUAUCACAUGAAGUUUUCUAUGGACACAUGUAAUAUCUCCAUAUGAAAUUAUUAUACGGUUCAAUUCAGUGUAUAUGUCAUCUGACAAGCACCUACAUAUUAGUUAUAGACCAGUUUGUGAGAUUGACUACUUCCUUUCAUAAAUAAAAAAACAUAAUAUAUAAUAGUCUCAACAGUUUUAAAAAAUAUCCAUUAUUAAGAGAGCAUUAACCAAGAACAUUUAGGAAAAAUACAUUGAUGCAAUAUGAAUCCUAUAAUUAUAAUAUCUUUAUAAUUUUAUUUGCAUUUUUUUUUAUGAAGUUUAUCUUUACUUUAAAUUCAUUUAUCAAAUAUUAAAUUCAUAAAUUAAAUAUAAAUAAUUAAAUAUUAAAUUAAAUAUUUUUUUAUUUAAUAUAAUUAAAUAUAUUCUACAUAAAUAAAAUAAUAUUACGUAUAACCAACUUAACAUUUGUAAAGUUAACUUGGUCAAACAGUAAACUUUUGGUCCAUUUUUUUGCCUUUAAACAACUUUGUAUAACUUGCUACUCAUUUGACAACUGGCCUCUGCUUGCCUCUUUCCUUCCUCUUUUUGAUUGAAGCUAUGUUGUAAAGGAAAAUAAUGAAAAUAACCCGUGCAAUAAUUGAUCAAGUUGUUUGUUUAAUAUUCAUGACCAAUACUUUCUCCCAAUUUCUAUGUACAUUCAUAAUAUGUUACCUCGUUUUAUCAAAUAAAUAAAUAAGUAAAUAAAAAUAGAAGGUAUAAUUACGAUGGUUAUAUUGUUAUUCUAUUUUUAAUUGUUACUUUAAAAACAAUUCUUGAUUUGCAUGUAGCUUUUAGACCAUAUAUUAAUAUUUAAUGAGUUUAAUAUAUGCUCUGGUUUGUGUUUUUUUAUUUUGUUAUAUUUACUCUUGUAAUUUCAAUUGUUCAUGACUACCUCUAUAUUUAUAAAUUUUAGCGAGUCAUCCCUCCAUCCCAUCUUGAUUUACUAAUAUAAAGUGUUUUUGAAAAUGUUGUAACAAUUAUGAUUCAAAUUUUUAUUUAUAAAUACAUCAAAAUAAUUUUUAUUUUAUUUUUAAAAAAUUAUUUUAUACAUUAGUACAUCAAAAUAAUUUAAAAAUAUAAAAAAAUAUUAAUUUUAAACAAAAAAAAUCAAAAUUAAAAAAACACGGUGCAAAACACGUUUUAAACAUGAUUAUAAAAAUCAAUGACUAAUAUCAAUAAGUUAUAGCUAAAUAAUAAAUUUAGAUAAAAAAAAAAAAGGAAAAAAAAUCCAAAAUGGAAAUUCAAUAAAAAAAAGCAUGGACUGAUUCCAAGCUAUAGCUUUAUAAGAACAAAUUACCAGGGGACAAGUCCCGAUUUUCUAAUAAUUCCAACUCCCUCCCACCUAUAAUAGUUUCCCAACUGUAAAUCUCCCUCUCAACGCACCAUCAAGGCACCCCAUUACAUUUUCUAGCUCGAGAUUUCUAGCACUAUAGACUAUGCAGGCACAUCUUUUUGGAUAUGCUCAGAAUUAGGGAUAACAUGAUACCCAAAUAUCUUACCAAACAUAGUCACAACCUUAUCUUAUAGUCACAACCUUAUCUUUUGAAAACUUAAAGAAGUUGAAAGCUUCUAGAAAAAACUAAAAAACAUAUUAAAAAAAUAAAAAAUCUAGAAAAAAAAUUAAAAUUUUGAUUAAAAAAACUGAAAUUAUAAAACUAACUUGUAAAAUCUAAAAUAUUGUCGAGGACUCUAAGACUAUCACACUAUUAGUAUCAUAAUAUAAAUUUAAUUUAAAAUGAUUAAUAAUUAAUAUUAAAAUUGAAUCCGUUGUAAAUUAUAAAAAUAAUACGAGUUAUCGAGACACCACUCACUUUAAUGGGGCUUAUAAGAGAUCCAUUGGAUCUUCCUUAAUUAGUUCCCUUAAAAAACAUGAAAUAUGAGAUAAGAAAAGAAACAUGCCUCGUAUCUUGAACUCAACAUAAAAAAUUGAAAUAAACCAUAGACCCACACAACUUAGCAGUAGAUGGUCAUGUAAUGGAAUUACUUGUAGAAGCAAUGUAUAUAAGAAAAUAUUGUAGCCCAGCGGUAGCAAGAGUUUUUUUGUCUGUUCAUUCUGGGUUCAAGUCUAAGCGUGUAUGCCUGUCACUCCCGCGGUGCUUUACAUGCUCACUUGGUUUGCAGGAUGUUCAGUGGGCCGUAGAUUAGUCGUGGUGCACGCAAGCUGACCCGGACACCCACGUAAAUAAAAAAAAAUAUAUAUAAAAAAAUAAUUGAUAAUAAAUUUGUAAUAAAACAUAUGAGCAUUCACUUGAUAUUGAAUUAUAAUUAUUAAAUGAUCAAUAUAUGUUUUUCACAUAAAUACAAAAUUAAUUAGUUAUAUAUAUAUGGAUGGUUUUAUUUUUUCUUUUUAACGAAUAUGUAUGGAUCAUAUAUUGAAACUAUGAUCUACAAGAACAAGAAGACACGCGAGCUCAAUUGGUUAUAGGGAAUAAUGCCACUUUAUUAUUAUAUUGGACGGCUUAAAAGUCCUGGAAGUGUCAACAACAGGCUGAAUAGGCUUAACGUUUUGGUGCCUUUAUGUAACCUACAUGUGUGGAAUUUGGAACCUUGGUUAGGGUUUGGAGAUCAUAAGCAAUCGUACACUUGGAAGUCUCCUUGUUGUAGAAGUAACCCAUACACUUACAGUCACUUGAACACUUUUUUCCACAGUCAUCCUCCUUCACUGCUACGCUCCCACUUGCAUAUAUGCUCAUGGAAUGAUCAACGCCUUCUAGUUUAUAGUAGUAAAAAUCCUUAGAACCACAGGCGGGUGGCUUUACAGGUUCGCAAUUCUUGCUCCAGCCGAGAAGACCACUUGGUAAGGGCAAGCAACACAUUGGCUGUCUUCACACAACCCAAACUUACCACAUCUCUCUGGUAACUGGCACUCACUCUCUGGAAAACCAUCCCUGGAGAAGAGAUUGAAGCUCACAUCCCAUGCCAUGUAGUCCACCUUAUUGUUGUAAGAGUAGAUCCUAAGGUUCCCAUCUAUCCCAAUUCUAAGAAUUGACAACGUGGCAUUGAAUUUAGGUCUGGCGUAUACGCUCCAACCACCAGAAGAUAAAUCCAAAGUCACCUCACUGGCCGAAUUGUCAUAAUUAUCUGGGUUACAAUUUAGAGUUACAUUUUGUAGACGAUCUUGGCGUGUUCCGAACGUGUAAUAGAAAUAUUGUUUAGGAGAAUUGGGACUCUUAUAGUACAUCACCAAUCUUUUGGAUUCCAUGACCAGGCUAUAGGCGCCAUCAGAGUUCUCCUUCUGUGAGGCUCGGCUCACAAGCCUCGUGACACCUCCAACCCGAAGAGAUUGACCC
rnacentral:lncRNA from 1 species